CCAGGCUCUUUCCUCUACGCUUCCAGCUAGGAGCGUAGAGGAAAGAGCCUGGGA
rnacentral:miRNA from 1 species